CUCGGCGGUCCUUCUUGUCAAAAGCGUUGAUGUUGGCUCCUCUGGAGAGAAGCAGCCUCACCAUCUAUCAGGAAAAGGAUAGAGAAACCAAACACAAGAUUUGAACAAUACCAGAUGAACAAAAGUGUCACAAGUGAACCACGACAGUCUCCAAUCUCACAGUUCAUGGAGAACCGUGUAGGGCAGUACAGCAUGAAUCAUUCACAGCAGAAAGCUAUCAACAAUACAAUACUGUCUGACCUGGUUAUCGAUUGCAAC
ensembl:lncRNA